CCAGUAGGGAAGGAUCUCUUUUGGAGAUGGCUUCUCUUGGAGUUUUCUUAGAGAGCCCAGGAUGAUGGGAUGAAAGUUAAAAGAUAACGAAUAGCUGCAAUGUUGAUGGAAAAGAAGAGAACGCAGGAGGAAGGUUAGAGUCUGUCUGCUUAAUAGUAAGUAAGAGUAGACUGACAUGGCCCUGAAGGACAAUUCUUGAUGCCUGAGAACAGCAGCAAGGAAUGGUCACAGGAGUGAAUUAUCCUGAUAGCCACCGGUAUCCCCACCAUAAAACCUGUAUUGCAACAGCAAUAUGGAGCAGCCAUCAGUUAACCGCAGACAUUCCUGGCACAUUCCAAUAACAGGACAUGCAGCCAAGGAAGCCAACUGACCCAGCAUUUGAGGAGGUGUCUUUCUUCAGAAAGUCUGAUUCAAUCCUGGCUCCUCAGACCCAGUGGGAGUGCUGGGUAAGUACAUGUCACCCUGUGUUUUCUCCCCCUGAAGUCCAGGAGUGCUUUUUUAGGAAGACAGAGCCUGUGGGAUGAGGAACACAGACACGGUCUUGGCUGUGAGCUGAAGAUCUUGGUUCUGGAACCAUUGUUCUGAAGCUGCUUUGAGGAGACAGGCGGGGCCUGGCUCAUUUGAGGCUCCAAGAUGGGCAUCUUCAGUGGCAUGGGCAGAAUGUGAGCAGAAGCCAUGAUAAAGAGCAAUCACAACAUAACAGGAUAUGGAAGCACAGAGGGUAAGGGUUUUUACACAGCCUAGAUGAUGGUAAGAUGCAGGCUCCAUGACAAUGCAGUUCGAUUGAAAUUCCAGCCUGUUUGUAUUCUCAGUGUCAAGGACUUCCUUUCUUCAUUCUUGUUCUACUAUUGGUUUAAAUAUGUCUUUCAUGUUCUACCAUAAAAAAAUGUCAUUAGUGCAUUAUUACCUUUGUUUGUUAGUGAACAGAACUAUUGAAUGGUGCUGUGCCCAAGACUGCAUUUUGAGAGAUUCCCCUUGUAAGCAGCAUCCCAGGAGAUCACCUCCUAAGGACAGCCCACUGCUUUCUUUGUUUUAGAGAUUUUCAUAUUUACCUUACAUUCCUUGAACUAAUCACCCUUGACUGAGGCUGCAUAAUAAAAUACAUGACCAUUAAAAAAGUCAUGAAAUUUCAGCUUCUGCAAGCAGGCUAUGAUGAUGGAACAUCCUUUCAAAAAAGCAAGUCUGCUGGCAAUUCUAUUGAUGUUUGCACUAAAUGUGAU